GAGUACAAGCUUUGUAGCAAGCUCAGGAUCAAAAUCAUUGCAUGUUAGGACUUUCUUCAGCUUCCUGCAUGUCAUGCAUGGAAAUCGAAUGAGUCGACAAAGACGUGAGCUCAAUACUUCCCGUCGUUCCUCAAGCUUUGGGUAAUGGAUGCGAGCCCACUUUAACGCAAAGUCAUAGACAGCAUCCUCGGAAGCAAUCUGAAGAUCAUCACUGGACAGAACAGCCCGUUCCUCAAGCUUUAGGUAAUGGAUGCGAGCCCACUUUAAUGCAAAGUCAUAGACAGCAUCCUCUGAAGCAAUCUGAAGAUCGUCACUGGACAGAACAGCCUCAAUUCCCGCAAGAGGCAAAUUCAAUACCUCUUCUUGGAACCUGAAGAAUUUUAGAGAAAUAAAAUCUCAAAAGAAGAUACCUUUCUCAAAGUAGUUUUCAUGCAUGUGCAUUGCACAUGCCAAAAGCAGUUAGCGUAGAAAGUUAUUCUUUAACUAUGAGCCAAACAAGUAAAGAUCACUUCCAAAUUAAA
rnacentral:lncRNA from 1 species